rnacentral:rRNA from 1 species
GGGGGGGGGGGGGGGGGGGGGGGGGGGGGGGAGGGCGGGGGGGGGGGGCGGGCUGGUGGGGGGGGCGCGGGUGGCGAACGGGUGAGUAACACGUGAGUAACCUGCCCGUGACUUUGGGAUAACUUCAGGAAACUGGGGCUAAUACCGGAUAGGAGCUCCUGCUGCGGGGUGGGGGUUGGAAAGUUGCGGCGGUUGGGGAUGGACUCGCGGCUUAUCAGCUUGUUGGUGGGGGAGUGGCUUACCAAGGCUUUGCCGGGUAGCCGGCCUGAGAGGGUGACCGGACACAUUGGGACUGAGAUACGGCCCAGACUCCUACGGGAGGCAGCAGUGGGGAAUAUUGCACAAUGGGCGGAAGCCUGAUGCAGCAACGCCGCGUGCGGGAUGACGGCCUUCGGGUUGUAAACCGCUUUCGCCUGUGACGAAGCGUGAGUGACGGUAAUGGGUAAAGAAGCACCGGCUAACUACGUG